rnacentral:rRNA from 1 species
CCCACUUGGACUUAAAACAAAAUACAGAGUUCUUCGGGAGGCACCAGUAGGGGAUCUUUCGCAAUGGGGGAAAGCCUGAAGGAGCCACGCCGCGUGAGUGAAGAAGGUCUUCGGAUUGGUAGAGGUCUGUUUCCACGGAAGAAAGUCCGGUAGAGUAACUGCUAUCGGAGUGACGGUACCUGAGAAGAAAGCCCCGGCUAACUACGUGCCAGCAGCCGCGGUAAUACGUAGGGGGCAAGCGUUGUCCGGAAUUAUUGGGCGUAAAGCGCGCGCAGGCGGUCAUUUAAGUCUGGUGUUUAAGGCCAAGGCUCAACCUUGGUUCGCACUGGAAACUGGGUGACUUGAGUGCAGAAGAGGGGAGUGGAAUUUCCCGUGUAGCGCAGAAAUGCGUAGAUAUAUGGAGGAACACCAGUGGCGAAGGGGCCUCUCUGGGCUGUAAUUGACGCUGUGGCGCGAAAACGUGGGGAGCAAACACGGGUUGAUAUCCCGGUAGAGCCCGCCGUAAAAGAGAAUCAUAGGAGUUAGGGGGUUUCAUUUCCUUAGUGCACGCAAGUUAACCG